rnacentral:rRNA from 1 species
GACGAACGCUGGCGGCGUGCUUAACACAUGCAAGUCGAGCGGUAAGGCCCUUUCGGGGGUACACGAGCGGCGAACGGGUGAGUAACACGUGGGUGACCUGCCCUCAGCUCUGGGAUAAGCCUGGGAAACCGGGUCUAAUACCGGAUAUGACUCCAUGACGCAUGUUGUGGGGUGGAAAGCCUUGUGCGGCUGAGGAUGGGCCCGCGGCCUAUCAGCUUGUUGGUGGGGUGAUGGCUUACCAAGGCGACGACGGGUAGCCGGCCUGAGAGGGCGACCGGCCACACCGGGACUGAGACACGGCCCAGACUCCUACGGGAGGCAGCAGUGGGGAAUCUUGCGCAAUGGGCGAAAGCCUGACGCAGCGACGCCGCGUGAGGGAUGACGGCCU